rnacentral:rRNA from 1 species
GAUGAACGCUGGCGGCGUGCCUAAUACAUGCAAGUCGAGCGGCCGCACGAGUGCCUGCCCUCUCUGGCGUGAGCGGCGCGCGUGUGAGUAACAUGGGGACAUCCCACCUAGAAGGCGGGAGUAACGUGGAGGAACCGUUGCUAAUACCGGCGAAUAUCUUGAACCGCAGGGGUCACAAGUGGAAUACGGUCUUGCUGUCGCUUCUAGAUGGAUCCGCGCUGCAUUAGCUAGUUGGUGGGGUAACGGCUUACCAAGGCAACGAUGCAUAGCCGAUCUGAGAGGGUGAUCGGCCACACUGGAACUGAGACACGGUCCAGACUCCUACGGGAGGCAGCAGUGGGGAAUCUUGCGCAAUGGGCGAAAGCCUGACGGAGCAACGCCGCGUGUGUGAUGAAGGUCUUCGGAUCGUAAAGCUCUGUUGUUCGGGAAGAACAUCUGGGUCCGUAACCGUGCGCAGCUUGACGGUACCUGAUGAGAAAGCCACGGCUAACUACGUG